AUGCACGCUGGCGGCGUGCCUAAUACCUGCCAGUCGAGCGAACAGACGAGGAGCUUGCUCCUCUGACGUUAGCGGCGGCCGGGUGAGUAACACGUGGAUAACCUACCUAUAAGACUGGGAUAACUUCGGGAAACCGGAGCUAAUACCGGAUAAUAUAUUGAACCGCAUGGUUCAAUAGUGAAAGACGGUUUUGCUGUCACUUAUAGAUGGAUCCGCGCCGCAUUAGCUAGUUGGUAAGGUAACGGCUUACCAAGGCAACGAUGCGUAGCCGACCUGAGAGGGUGAUCGGCCACACUGGAACUGAGACACGGUCCAGACUCCUACGGGAGGCAGCAGUAGGGAAUCUUCCGCAAUGGGCGAAAGCCUGACGGAGCAACGCCGCGUGAGUGAUGAAGGUCUUCGGAUCGUAAAACUCUGUUAUUAGGGAAGAACAAAUGUGUAAGUAACUAUGCACGUCUUGACGGUACCUAAUCAGAAAGCCACGGCUAACUACGUG
rnacentral:rRNA from 1 species